ACUUUUUAAUGGAGACCGACUUGGCCUGGUGAGGAGAGCAGGGUUUCGUCUUCAGGUGUUUAGACUCAACUGUGGCUGCGGGUGCUCUGCGAUGUAGAGAGAGGAAGAGAUCCCAUAUCCAAGUUGCCUUGUUCCCGCUUUGGGACAAGUUGCCCUCGCUGUCUGAUGAGGCAGGGAGAAGUAGGACUCCCUUGGCCCCAGUGAAUGUGGUGUCCUGCUCCAGGGGUGUCCCGGAGCUACUUUCCAAGUAAAGGCAAGGUGCCAAAAAAUGAGACAGGUAAACACUCUCUCUGAGCCUAGCGUCUUCCUCUGUGAAAUGGGGAUAAAAAUGCUCACCCACAGGAUUGCUGGAAGCUUCAGUGAUACAGGUGCAAGCCGAAACAGUGUCUCACUAUGUUGCCCAGGCUUGUCUUGAAUUCCUGACCUCAAGUGAUCCUCCCACAUCAGCCUUCCAAAGUGCUGGGAUUACAGGUCUCUGAAUGCUCUAAUCUCCCUCCUGGCUGACAGUACGGGCUCCCCAGAAAUAUGUUUCCUUUGCGCUCCUGAGGGGCUUGAUGAAAACCUUAUACUAUGUCUGCUGGACAGGACACUGGAGCAAGAGAUACUGGAGAUCUCUCUGCAUCCUGGCACCAAACCCAAACCAGUAACUCUG
rnacentral:lncRNA from 10 species